UACGUAGGUGGCAAGCGUUGUCCGGAUUUAUUGGGUUUAAAGGGUGCGUAGGCGGUCUUAUAAGUCAGUUGUGAAAUACGGCAGCUUAACUGGGGAACUGCGUCUGAUACUGGAUGGCUUGGAUUCGGGAGAGGAAUGCGGAAUUCCAGGUGUAGCGGUGAAAUGCGCAGAUAUCAGGAGGAACACCGGUGGCGAAGGCGGUUCUCUGGGCCUUACCUGACGCUGAGGAGCGAAAGCGUGGGGAGCGAACAGG
rnacentral:rRNA from 1 species